GCGUGCUUCACACAUGCAAGUCGAACGGAAAGGCCCGCUUGCGGGUACUCGAGUGGCGAACGGGUGAGUAACACGUGGGUAACCUGCCCCCAUCUCUGGGAUAACCGUUGGAAACGGCGGCUAAUACCGGAUACGACCACGAGGUGCAUGCUCGGUGGUGGAAAGUUUUUGCGGUUGGGGAGGGGCCCGCGGCCUAUCAGCUUGUUGGUGCGGUAGUGGCGCACCAAGGCUUUGACGGGUAGCCGGCCUGAGAGGGCGGUCGGUCACAUUGGGACUGAGAUACGGCCCAGACUCNUACGGGAGGCAGCAGUGGGGAAUUUUGCACAAUGNNANCAANCCUGAUGCAGCGACGCCGCGUGAGGGAUGNNGGNNANCGGGUUGUAAACCUCUNUNAAUCNUCACGAAGGCGGUGUAUUCGCACCGUUGACGGUAGUGGUUGAAUAAGCGCCGGCUAACUACGUGCCAGCAGCCGCGGUAAGACGUAGGGCGCGAGCGUUGUCCGGAUUUAUUGGGCGUAAAGGGCUCGUAGGCGGUUGAUUGCGUCCGCCGUGAAAGGCCUCGGCUUNACCGGGGUUUUGCGGNNGNUNCGGGUCGACUUGAGGCAAUUAGGGGAGAUCGGAAUUCUACGUGUAGCGNGAAAUGCGU
rnacentral:rRNA from 1 species